rnacentral:sRNA from 1 species
AAACCUUGAUCUGUGAAAGCGGGCGUUUUGGAAGAUACCGGAAGUAGAGUCACGGAGAGGUAUUAAGAAAUGGAGAGAAAAAUAAGCAGAAUCCAUCUUGCUUCUGAACCCAAUAUAACUCAUUUUCUACAAGUAUCUUGGGAGAAAACACUGGAAUCUGGUUUUGUUAUUACACUUACUGAUGGUCAUUCAGCAUGGACUGGGACAGUUUCUGAAUCAGAGAUUUCCCAAGAAGCUGAUGACAUGGCAAUGGAAAAAGGGAAAUAUGUUGGUGAACUGAGAAAAGCAUUGUUGUCAGGAGCAGGACCAGCUGAUGUAUACACGUUUAAUUUUUCUAAAGAGUCUUGUUAUUUCUUCUUUGAGAAAAACCUGAAAGAUGUCUCAUUCAGACUUGGUUCCUUCAACCUAGAGAAAGUUGAAAACCCAGCUGAAGUCAUUAGAGAACUUAUUUGUUAUUGCUUGGACACCAUUGCAGAAAAUCAAGCCAAAAAUGAGCACCUGCAGAAAGAAAAUGAAAGGCUUCUGAGAGAUUGGAAUGAUGUUCAAGGACGAUUUGAAAAAUGUGUGAGUGCUAAGGAAGCUUUGGAGACUGAUCUUUAUAAGCGGUUUAUUCUGGUGUUGAAUGAGAAGAAAACAAAAAUCAGAAGUUUGCAUAAUAAAUUAUUAAAUGCAGCUCAAGAACGAGAAAAGGACAUCAAACAAGAAGGGGAAACUGCAAUCUGUUCUGAAAUGACUGCUGACCGAGAUCCAGUCUAUGAUGAGAGUACUGAUGAGGAAAGUGAAAACCAAACUGAUCCCUCUGGGUUGGCUUCAGCUGCUGUAAGUAAAGAUGAUUCCAUUAUUUCAAGUCUUGAUGUCACUGAUAUUGCACCAAGUAGAAAAAGGAGACAGCGAAUGCAAAGAAAUCUUGGGACAGAACCUAAAAUGGCUCCUCAGGAGAAUCAGCUUCAAGAAAAGGAAAAAGGGAGGAAGAAGGAGACUUCAGAGAAAGAGGCCGUGUGUUGGAAGCAAAAUCAGAGAGAAAAGAUGCUAAGCUGCUGCCUUUGAAUAAGGAGGAACGUGAGCCCACAGAUCCAAUAACUGAAGCUCUAGGCAGUGGAAAAGCCAAGGAAACUGAUCUUCCCUUCGAGCCUCCGGUGGGAGUGUAGCCCUGCCAACACCUUUAUUUUAGCCCCAUAACAGUCAUUUCAGACUUGUGGCCUCCAGAAUUUUAAGAGAAUGAAUUUUUAUUGUAUUAAGCCAU